rnacentral:rRNA from 1 species
GACGAACGCUGGCGGCGUGCUUAACACAUGCAAGUCGAACGGUAAGGCCCUUCGGGGUACACGAGUGGCGAACGGGUGAGUAACACGUGGGUGAUCUGCCCUGCGCUUCGGGCUAAGCCUGGGAAACUGGGUCUAAUACCGGAUAGGACCCUGGGAUGCAUGUCCUGGGGUGGAAAGCUUUUGCGGUGUGGGAUGGGCCCGCGGCCUAUCAGCUUGUUGGUGGGGUGAUGGCCUACCAAGGCGACGACGGGUAGCCGGCCUGAGAGGGUGACCGGCCACACUGGGACUGAGAUACGGCCCAGACUCCUACGGGAGGCAGCAGUGGGGAAUAUUGCACAAUGGGCGCAAGCCUGAUGCAGCGACGCCGCGUGAGGGAUGACGGCCUUCGGGUUGUAAACCUCUUUCAGCACCGACGAAGCGCAAGUGACGGUAGGUGCAGAAGAAGGACCGGCCAACUACGUGCCAGCAGCCGCAGUAAAAC